rnacentral:rRNA from 1 species
CAGUCGCCGCGGUAAUACGUAGGGUGCAAGCGUUAAUCGGAAUUACUGGGCGUAAAGCGUGCGCAGGCGGUUAUAUAAGACAGAUGUGAAAUCCCCGGGCUCAACCUGGGAACUGCAUUUGUGACUGUAUAGCUAGAGUACGGCAGAGGGGGAUGGAAUUCCGCGUGUAGCAGUGAAAUGCGUAGAUAUGCGGAGGAACGCCGAUGGCGAAGGCAAUCCCCUGGGCCUGUACUGACGCUCAUGCACGAAAGCGUGGGGAGCAAACAGGAUUAGAUACCCCCGUAGUCCCUGUCUCUUAUAC